rnacentral:misc_RNA from 1 species
AACUUAAUGGUUCUAAUUAUCUGAAUUGGAGUAAGAUUGUUAGAGUUUAUUUGUGGAGUAUUGAUAAGGAUGAUCAUCUCACCAAGAUCCACCUACUGAUAAUACAAAGCAAACUUGAAUGAAGGAAGAUGCUCGUUUAUUCUUGCAAAUUAGAAAUUCCAUUAACAGUGAGGUAAUUAGCUUAAUUAAUCACUGUGAGUUUGUUAAAGAAUUGAUGGAUUAUUUAGAAUUCUUAUAUUCGGAUAAAGAAAAUAUCUCUCGUAUUUAUGAGUUAUGUAAUGCAUUUUAUCGUGCAGAGAAACAAGAUAGGUCCCUCACAUUCUAUUUUAUGGAUUUUAAAAGAAUCUAUGAGGAACAUAAUGUCUUAAUGCCGUUUAGUCCUGAUAUAAAAGUUCAGCAAGCUCAACAAGAAUAAAUGACUGUCGUGAGUUUUUUUGGCAAGUCUUCCCCCAGAGUUUGAGACUGCUAAAUCUCAAAUUCUUUCUGGUUCUGAAAUUUCUUCUCUGCAUGACACUUUCACUAGAGUACUUCAUACAGAAUCUUCCCAACCUCCCAAUCUGUUAACAGUGCUUUGGUUGGUCGCAAUGAUAGUGGGAGGCAAGGCCACAGAGGAGGGUUCAAUGGCAAUAGGGGUAAUCAGUGAAGUGGGAAAGUUGCCCAUAACUGUGACUCAGGGGGCAUUGUGUGCUAUUUUUGCCAUGAGCCAGGGCAUACAAAAAGAACAUGCCCAUAGCUUCAGAAUAAGAAUAAGCAAAUUCAAAUGGCGAAUAUGGUAGCCGAGGAGUCUACCAUAGCUCCUCCUUCUGAAAAAACUAUUUUAGUUUUAGCUGAAGAAUAUGCACAAUUCUCUCAGUAUCAGGCAUCACUAAAGCCCACUAAUUCACCAGCCGCUGCUAUUGCUGAGUCAAGUAAUUCCACUAUAUGCCUUGUGUCAUCUUCUUCAAAGUGGGUCAUUCAUUCUGGGGCUACAGACUACAUGACAGGUAACGCUAGUCUUUUGUCUCAAUUUCAACUUCAUUACUCGUUUUCUUCUGUCACUUUAGCUGAUAGGUCCAAAACUUGUAUCAUGAGUACUGGUGUAGCCAAUAAAUCAACCUCAAUCUCUGUCUUCAGUUUUAUGCUUAUCUAAAUUUGCUUUUAAUUUACUCUCUGUUAGUCAACUUACUCGUACCCUCAAUUGUUGUGUCUCAUUUUUUCUCAAUCAUUGUCUCUUUCAGGAUCUUAUGACGAAACAGAUUUUUGGUAAAGGGUAUAAGUCUAGGUGCCUGUACAUCAUUGACAAGCAGGUGCUGGGAUCUUUUGUGUGCUCCAGUGCCUUAAGUCCUCUCGAAGUUCAUUGUCGGUUAGGUCAUCCUUCCCUAUCUGUCAUGAAGAAGCUAUAUCCACAGUUUUAGUCUUUGUCAGUUUUAAAUUGUGAGUCAUGUCGAUUUGCCAAACACCAUCGUUUGCCUACAGUGUCUCUAGUCCAGAAACGAG